GAAUUCUUCAGGAUGGAGGACUUUGUGGCGUCUCUGGAACAUGACAAGCCUGACGAAGAGGCUACGUGUCUCCAGAUGAAUAUCAAACCUAAUAUAAAAGGUCUGUCUACACCCCGGCGUGUUGCCCUGAAGCAUCUGGAGUGUAAACGCUGACGGUCUGAAGUGAAGGUCCUUCGUAACUUUUUUCUCUGGGCUCCCACAGUCCACAUCUCAGUUGGCUUCAAAACUAACGAUAGAGGUCAGCAACAACUCAGCACACAGAAGAGCUAACACACACACACACACACACACACACACAUUCUCUGAUUCAUGCUUUCUUGGUAGAGCGAUCGAGUGAAACACAGGAACACUGCUCUCCAUCCACAAUGCCUACUGCUCUUUCUCCUCUUUCUGCUUUCUUCUCCUCUCAGAUCCUGAAUUACUAUAAGUUCCCUUUCAGGCUGAUUUUCACUCAGGGUCUAAACAUGUGCAAAAUAGCACACAUUUCCUUUGUGUUUUUGGCUUAAUGAAUAGGCAUGAUGGUGAGUUAUUACCAGAAGGUGAAAAAUAUAGGGUGGAUCCAAUGCAAACUGAUUCAUCUUGCAUGCACAGUGUAAUUUAUUAGGCUUGAAAGCCACUUCAGAGAUUAUGUGCAUGCAAAUCGCUCUCAAUUAAAUCAGGUAUUAAAUGUGCGGAACACCAUUUCUAUGGGAAUUGUAUUUCAUAUUUAAAAUAAUCAUUCAUUA